AAUUCGCCCUUAGAGUUUGAUCCUGGCUCAGGAUGAACGCUAGCUACAGGCUUAACACAUGCAAGUCGAGGGGCAGCAUGGUCUUAGCUUGCUAAGGCCGAUGGCGACCGGCGCACGGGUGAGUAACACGUAUCCAACCUGCCGUCUACUCUUGGACAGCCUUCUGAAAGGAAGAUUAAUACAAGAUGGCAUCAUGAGUCCGCAUGUUCACAUGAUUAAAGGUAUUCCGGUAGACGAUGGGGAUGCGUUCCAUUAGAUAGUAGGCGGGGUAACGGCCCACCUAGUCUUCGAUGGAUAGGGGUUCUGAGAGGAAGGUCCCCCACAUUGGAACUGAGACACGGUCCAAACUCCUACGGGAGGCAGCAGUGAGGAAUAUUGGUCAAUGGGCGAGAGCCUGAACCAGCCAAGUAGCGUGAAGGAUGAAGGUCCUACGGAUUGUAAACUUCUUUUAUACGGGAAUAAAGUAUCCUACGUGUAGGAUUUUGUAUGUACCGUAUGAAUAAGCAUCGGCUAACUCCGUGCCAGCAGCCGCGGUAAUACGGAGGAUGCGAGCGUUAUCCGGAUUUAUUGGGUUUAAAGGGAGCGCAGACGGGAGAUUAAGUCAGUUGUGAAAGUUUGCGGCUCAACCGUAAAAUUGCAGUUGAUACUGGUUUCCUUGAGUGCAGUUGAGGCAGGCGGAAUUCGUGGUGUAGCGGUGAAAUGCUUAGAUAUCACGAAGAACCCCGAUUGCGAAGGCAGCUUGCUAAACUGUAACUGACGUUCAUGCUCGAAAGUGUGGGUAUCAAACAGGAUUAGAUACCCUGGUAGUCCACACGGUAAACGAUGGAUACUCGCUGUUGGCGAUAUACUGUCAGCGGCCAAGCGAAAGCAUUAAGUAUCCCACCUGGGGAGUACGCCGGCAACGGUGAAACUCAAAGGAAUUGACGG
rnacentral:rRNA from 1 species